rnacentral:rRNA from 1 species
GGCAGGGCGGCGUGCCUAUACUGGCAGUCGAGCGAGCUUGCCUAGAUGAUUUUAGUGCUUGCACUAAAUGAAACUAUAUACAAGCGAGCGGCGGACGGGUGAGUAACACGUGGGUAACCUGCCCAAGAGACUGGGAUAACACCUGGAAACAGAUGCUAAUACCGGAUAACAACACUAGACGCAUGUCUAGAGUUUGAAAGAUGGUUCUGCUAUCACUCUUGGAUGGACCUGCGGUGCAUUAGCUAGUUGGUAAGGUAACGGCUUACCAAGGCAAUGAUGCAUAGCCGAGUUGAGAGACUGAUCGGCCACAUUGGGACUGAGACACGGCCCAAACUCCUACGGGAGGCAGCAGUAGGGAAUCUUCCACAAUGGACGAAAGUCUGAUGGAGCAACGCCGCGUGAGUGAAGAAGGGUUUCGGCUCGUAAAGCUCUGUUGGUAGUGAAGAAAGAUAGAGGUAGUAACUGGCCUUUAUUUGACGGUAAUUACUUAGAAAGUCACGGCUAACUACGUGCCAGCAGCCGCGGUAAUACGUAGGUGGCAAGCGUUGUCCGGAUUUAUUGGGCGUAAAGCGAGUGCAGGCGGUUCAAUAAGUCUGAUGUGAAAGCCUUCGGCUCAACCGGAGAAUUGCAUCAGAAACUGUUGAACUUGAGUGCAGAAGAGGAGAGUGGAACUCCAUGUGUAGCGGUGGAAUGCGUAGAUAUAUGGAAGAACACCAGUGGCGAAGGCGGCUCUCUGGUCUGCAACUGACGCUGAGGCUCGAAAGCAUGGGUAGCGAACAGGAUUANAUACCCUGGUAGUC